AACGGAGGGGGUAAGUGUUACUCAUCAAAACUGGGCGUAAAGGGUAUGUAGGCUGUUUAUAAUGUGGAAAUAAAAGUCUAAAGAACAACUUUAAAUAAUUAUUUUUCUAUACAUAUAAACUAAGAGUAUAAUAGAAGUGUGUUGCACUUUCAGUGGAGAGGUAAAAUACGUAAAUAUUGUAGAGACAAUCAAUAGGUGAAGACGACUAACUAUAUUAUAACUACGUGAAAAUACAAAGCAAUG
rnacentral:rRNA from 1 species